rnacentral:sRNA from 1 species
UCCAUUGAUGCAAAUCAGUUAUUUCCCUUCCUUUUCGCUCGGUCGCGAGCGUUAUUGACCCCGGUCAAUGUUCACCCCGGCUCGAUUGGUUAACUUGGCUCCAACACAACAGGGGCGGGACCAGGAGGCCAAUCAUGUUUUUCGACAAUGUGGUGUUUGCCGGAAUGUUGACGGUCGGCUUCAUGUUUGUAUUUUUCGCCGUUUUUGGAUUAUUCAUCUGGAAAGACGCACACAAGCGCAAAAAACCUUAGGUCUUUCCGGCUGCAACGAGCACGCAAGGCAUUUUGGGCGACUUCGGUCGCCCUUU